ACUACGGGUGGCUGCAGUGGGGAAUAUUGCACAAUGGGCGCAAGCCUGAUGCAGCCAUGCCGCGUGUGUGAAGAAGGCCUUCGGGUUGUAAAGCACUUUCAGCGGGGAGGAAGGCGUUAAGGUUAAUAACCUUGUCGAUUGACGCUACCCGCAGAAGAAGCACCGGCUAACUCCGUGCCAGCAGCCGCGGUAAUACGGAGGGUGCAAGCGUUAAUCGGAAUUACUGGGCGUAAAGCGCACGCAGGCGGUCUGUCAAGUCGGAUGUGAAAUCCCCGGGCUCAACCUGGGAACUGCAUUCGAAACUGGCAGGCUAGAGUCUUGUAGAGGGGGGUAGAAUUCCAGGUGUAGCGGUGAAAUGCGUAGAGAUCUGGAGGAAUACCGGUGGCGAAGGCGGCCCCCUGGACAAAGACUGACGCUCAGGUGCGAAAGCGUGGGGAGCAAACAGGAUUAGAUACCCCUGUAGUC
rnacentral:rRNA from 1 species